rnacentral:rRNA from 1 species
AAAAYGACUCUCGGCAACGGAUAUCUCGGCUCUUGCAUCGAUGAAGAACGUAGCGAAAUGCGAUACUUGGUGUGAAUUGCAGAAUCCCGUGAACCAUCGAGUUUUUGAACGCAAGUUGCGCCUAAAGCCAUUAGGCUGAGGGCACGCCUGCCUGGGUGUCACAA